UACGAAGGGGGCUAGCGUUGUUCGGAAUUACUGGGCGUAAAGCGCACGUAGGCGGACAUUUAAGUCAGGGGUGAAAUCCCGGGGCUCAACCCCGGAACUGCCUUUGAUACUGGGUGUCUUGAGUUCGGAAGAGGUCGGUGGAAUUGCGAGUGUAGAGGUGAAAUUCGUAGAUAUUCGCAGGAACACCAGUGGCGAAGGCGGCCGACUGGUCCGAGACUGACGCUGAGGUGCGAAAGCGUGGGGAGCAAAC
rnacentral:rRNA from 1 species